rnacentral:rRNA from 1 species
UACGUAGGGGGCAAGCGUUGUCCGGAUUUAUUGGGCGUAAAGAGCGUGUAGGCGGCCAUACAGGUCAGCUGUGAAAACUCGAGGCUCAACCUCGAGACGUCGGUUGAAACCGUAUGGCUAGAGUCCGGAAGAGGAGAGUGGAAUUCCCGGUGUAGAGGUGAAAUUCGUAGAUAUCGGGAGGAACACCAGUGGCGAAGGCGGCGACCUGGGCAGAUACUGACACUGAGGUGCGAAAGCGUGGGGAGCAAACAGG